AGCAUAUCAAUAAGCGGAGGAAAAGAAACCAACAGGGAUUGCCUCAGUAACGGCGAGUGAAGCGGCAACAGCUCAAAUUUGAAAUCUGGCCUCUGGCCCGAGUUGUAAUUUGCAGAGGAUGUUUCUGGCGAGGUGCCUUCCGAGUUCCCUGGAACGGGACGCCAUAGAGGGUGAGAGCCCCGUACGGUUGGUCGCUAAGCCUCUGUGAAACUCCUUCGACGAGUCGAGUAGUUUGGGAAUGCUGCUCUAAAUGGGAGGUGUACGCCUUCUUAAGCUAAAUACCGGCUAGAGACCGAUAGCGCACAAGUAGAGUGAUCGAAAGAUGAAAAGCACUUUGAAAAGAGGGUUAAAAAGUACGUGAAAUUGUUGAAAGGGAAGCGCUCUUGACCAGACUUGCGCCGGUUGAUCAUCCGCCGUUCUCGGUGGUGCACUCUGCCGGCUCAGGCCAGCAUCAGUUCGGUCCGGGGGAUAAAGGCUUCGGGAAUGUGGCUCUCUCCGGGGAGUGUUAUAGCCCGUUGCGUAAUACCCUGGGCUGGACUGAGGUUCGCGCAUCUGCAUGGAUGCUGGCGUAAUGGUUAUCAGUGACCCGUCUUGAAACACGGACCAAGGAGUCGUCUUCGUAUGCGAGUGUUCGGGUGUCAAACCCCUACGCGUAAUGAAAGUGAACGUAGGAGAGAGCUUCGGCGCAUCUCCGACCGAUCCUGAUGUUCUCGGAUGGAUUUGAGUAAGAGCAUACGGGGCCGGACCCGAAAGAAGGUGAACUAUGCCUGUAUAGGGUGAAGCCAGAGGAAACUCUGGUGGAGGCUCGCAGCGGUUCUGACGUGCAAAUCGAUCGUCAAAUAUGGGCAUGGGGGGCGAAAGACUAAUCGAACCUUCUAGUAGCUGGUUUCCGCCGA
rnacentral:rRNA from 1 species